AGGCAGAGCGUGUGCGCAGCAAGCUUCCGUGAGCACAAGCAACACAAAUCAACACGAUCGGGACCUAAUUGACGACUUGUUCAACAACGUGACGCACGCGCAACUCCUCUGCCUCCCCCCCCUUUUCUCCUCCACCUCCCCCUCUCCCUUUUUUCCUCCUUCCUUUCCUCGGUGUCUUGUUGUGCCGCUUGGUCAACUUUGGUCAUCCGCGCUGGCGGGAACUUCUCGCACCUUUUCGGGCGGGUGCCAAUUAUAGGACCUUGCCGUGGAGAAGCUUCUGGGCCCCUGCUGACCCUGUUAGCCACCUUUAAUGUCAACUCCCCGGCGCCCGAGUGGAAGGAAUUACCUCGUUUUUAGUCUCCAAUCGGGGAAAAACCAGGACGCGCGCAGCAAAAUGCCGAGCUUGACUGCACUGCGGUGAAACGAGCUCGGGACUGUGUGGAUAAAAGCCCUGAGGGCUUUUGACAUUUUAGCUUUUUUUUUUCCCUUCUCCCCCCCCCCCCCCCCUUUCCAAUUUAUUUUUUAUUUAUUUUGGUGCUCCUCUUUUGGCCCGAGUGCAUUUUGGAGGUGGCGCAGAGGAUGGCGUGGUGCAGCUCAGCCGUGCGCAGAGCCCUGGGGCUCCUGGCGCUCCUGGGCCUCCUGCUUCCCGUCCGACAUGGGGUUUGCUCUGGGCCCGACGGGGGCGGCGGCAGCGGCGGCGGCGGCGGCUCUUGGGACCAGGAUGAGUCUCAGCGCUCAGGUGCACACCCCCCGGGGGGCCUGCACAGACACAGACGCAGCUGGGUAUGGAACCAGUUCUUUGUGCUUGAAGAGUUCACGGGAAACGAGCCGCUCUACGUCGGAAAGAGUGACCAGCUUGGCUUUUGCUUUGGAUUUGCAUUUGUGUUCGCAUGAGACGAUAAGUGGGAAAGAACAUUUUGCCCAUGGUCAUUUAUGCAAGGCACAAAUAUAGCGCGCCCCCCCCACCCACCCACCCUACCCAAUCACCAUUUUGAAGGCUUUUUCAUAUUCAAUAAUUGCCAUUUUUGAAAUACCUCUGUAUUUCAAAUUCACCGAAACUAGUUUGUUUCCCUUAUCCACACGAAAGUUGGUAUCUGCCAUUAUUAGACCCACAAAAAAAGUCAAGCCUGAAAAACACAGAAAUCUGUCAUUUGGUUUAGAUGCAGGAAUUUUUGUCAUUUCUCCUGGUACAAAGACCAAUGUUUGUGCCUUGAAUGUUCAGAAUAUUCACCCCCCCCCCCAAAGCCAGUUUCCUUUAACAACAUAAAAGCAGACCCACAAAAAAAAGUCUUAAAAAACAACACAUGAAAUGAGUUCAAAAACAAAUGCAACCUCUUCAGAUGAUUUUCAAAAUUCAGCCCCUAAAGCCAGUUACUGUCAACAACAUGGCAUUUGAUCGACGUGCCUGUAAGGGAUAGACCUGCAAAAAACCCCCCCCAAAAACUCAAGAACCCAUGCACGGGAGGACACAGGAAGUCUGACAGUUUUGUUUGAAGCAGAUAUUAUAUGAUAAAGUUCAAAAGCAAAUGCAAGCUCCUGAAAUGCUUUGAAAAUUCACCCCCCAAAACCAAUUUCCCUGAACAACAUUUGGUAGCCAUGUAGAUCUGCGUCAAAGUCUCAUGAACACACUCCCAGAAAGUCUGCCAUAUUGUUUUGAAACGGCCGUUUCAAGGUGUUGUUUUUUUUUUUUAAAGUCAAGGACUAACUAUAACGCUUCCAAUGUUUCAAAAUUUCAUCCUCCGAAGCCACUUUCACCUCGCAGCAUGAAAUUUGCUACCCGUGUCGAUCAUGAGUGACUCGACAUCAGUCAUAUGUUGAAGCUCCGUUUCAGAACUCCUCCGGAAGGUUCUCGCGUUGCCGUGGAGACAACCCUAACAGCCACAAUGGCUCCUUAAAAAAAAAAGAAAGCAAUAUAGCAGUGUGAGAAUCUAAUAUUAUUGGGCCGUGACUUCUGCGGCCAGAAGCUGCUUUUAUUGUGAAUUCUAAAAAUAAGCCAGCAACCUACAGAGAAAAACACCAUAUUUAUUGGAUAUGUAGGAAUUAUUUUGAGUUUUAUUGAUGCUAUUAGUUCGACAGAGGAGUCAAACAGAUAAACAUCAGAUUUAAAAACUCAAUGAAAAUCAUUACCUGCCUUUACAUGCAUAUUAAAUCUACACAAAAUGUUGGUCAGGGACUGUCGACCUGCGCCUAUUUGUGCGGGAAAAAAAAUGAUGUGGUUUCAAGUAGUUCUUUAAAACGCUUUGUGAAAGCGUGACAGAAAUGGAGAUGUAUUGUUAGUUAGUGUGCUGGCCCAUGGGUGGCUCGUAGGACGGUUGCCCAUUGUCAAGCCGUUAGGAUUAAAUGGCUUUGCAGCAGGCGCGCCGGCGCUCCAGAUGGAACGCUCUCCAGAUCCCUGCCUGGAAUUUCCUGCUCUUAUUAUCAAAUGACUUUUGGAUCUUUCCGCUCAUCUGCGGGGCUGA